UCACUAUCUCCCACUUUCUUUGCCUUAAAGAGAAAGGGCCAUUCAUCGACUGUGAUGGUUAAGAUUGUGUGUCAUCUUGGCUGGGUCAUGAUUCUGAGUCUUGGCAGUUGUAUAAUGUUGUGAUCACAUCCCUGUUGAGGUCUGAUACGUGAUCACCCCCAUGAUGGGAUCUGCUGAGUGGUACCAGCGGGGGUGGGGCCUGUGGCGGCUCAUCACCCCUCAGCCUUCAUCACUCCGCCCUCUGCCGCCUAGUCCUUUCUGCUCUCUUUGCCGGGCUUAUGCUUGUUCUGGAUCCUGCAGCUGGCUCCUGUUAGUUUGACUUCCGGUUCUUGGUCUAGCAGCUUACCAGUGGUCUGACCUGCUGAUCUUGAGAUUCAUUGAUUUUCACAGCCUGCAACAGCACUGCUUUUCGGCCUGCCCUUCCUGGGUUCACCAUCCCUGGGGCUACGUGACUUCAGAGAAGUCUCUUCCCUGCUCCAUGGACUUGGGAUGUUACUGCCUCUAAAAACCGAGUUGGGGUGAUUACGAAGUCAUUGAAUUGAUCACUGUGAGAUUGCUGGAGUUCAGCAGAGAAGAAAAGCGGAAAACUGGCCACAUUUAACUUUUUAAUGGGUCACAUUUAUUAAGCUGUGAUUGGCUCAACCAGAGUCAAGCACAUAUAAGGCUCAUUCAUUCACUCACAAAAUAUUUAUUGCUCACCUACUAUGUGCAAAGGAAUUCCUGGGUGGCACAAAUGGUAAAGUGCUUGGAUUCUAAUGGAAAGGUUGGAGGUUCGAAUCUACCUAGACGUGCCUUAGAAGAAAGGCUUGGUGAUAUACUUCUGAAAGAUCACAGCCAUCAAAAACCUUAUGGAGCACAGCUCUACUCUGACAUGCAAAUGGCACUGGAGACCCAAAAUGCCACCGUGAUCCGCUGGUCAGUGCUGUGUCUACAGAAGGGUGACCCGCUCUGGCUAUCUGUUUGGUUGCCCUUGCGACCUGUACCUUGUACAACCAAGGAUGAUGAUGUAGACUCUAGCAGGCAGCAGAGGACAGGGAAGAGAAAGCUGGUGCCCAUUCUGCCAUUACUCCCCGUGUGUCUCUAGAAGUUUUCCUGCAUCUAACAGAAAACCAUCACCAUUGUGCUGAAGGAUGAUGAGGAGGCGAAGUCAAUUCUGAUUUGAGUUUACUUUGCAACAACUUAGAAAACUGCAAGAUGAAACACAGGGACUGCUUCUCUGAAACCACAUGGAAGCUUGUUGUUGUAUGUCGAAGAGUCGAUUUCAACUCACAGUGACCCUAUAUGACAAGAUAGAACUGCCCCAUAGGGUUUCCUAGGCUGUGAUCCUUACAGGAGCAGAUCGCCAGGUCUUUUCUCCUGCAGAGCUGCUGGGCCAGUAAGCAUUCUAACUCGCGUCAGCCAGCUCAGAUAGAAAAUGACAAAUUCUUUGGCGAAAGCCUACAGCCUCUGCAGGGAACUACUGGCCUCUGAGAAUUGACCUGGUCUGGCAUCUGACUCUGGUUGUCAAAAUGUCUUCAAAAUGGCUCCAUCAAAAUAGCAUAUACAUCUGAUUUCUAGAUGUUCAUAUGAACAGGACAGAUGACCCAGUGAACAAGGUGACACUACCUUGCUUGGUGAAAGUGAAGUGGACUUGAAGCACUUACCAAUGAAGGUCAAAGACCACAGUCUUCAGUAUGGAUUACAUCUCAUCAUAAAGAAAACAAAAAUCUUCACAACUGGACCAAUGAGCAACAUCAUGAUAAAUGGAGAAAAUAUUGCAGUUGUUAAGAAUUUCGUUUUACUUGAAGCCACAGUCAACAACCAUGGAAGCAGCAGUCAAGAAAUCAAAAGGCGUAUUGUAAAUCUGGGCAAAUUUACUGCAAAAGACCUCUUUAAAGUGUUAAAAGCACAGAUGUCACCUUGAAGACUAGGUGCGCCUGACCCAGGCCAUGGUGUUUUCAAUCACCUCUUAUGCGUGCUAAAGCUGGACAAUUAAUAAGGAAGAGUGAAGAAGAAUUGAUGCCUUUGAAUUAUGGUGUUAGAGGAGAAUAUUGAAUAUACCACAGACUGCCAAAAGAACAUACUUCUUCUUGGAGGUACAGCUAGAAUGCUCCUUAGAAACUAGGAUGGAGAGACUGCAUCUCACGUGCUUUGGUCAUGUUAUCAGGACGGAUCAGCUCCUGGAGAAGAACAUCAUGCUUGGUAAAGCAGAAAAAGAGGAAGAACCUUAAUGAGAUGGGUUGAUGCAGUGGCUACAACAAUGGGCUCAAGUGUAACGAUGGUGAAGAUGGCACAAGACUGGGCAGUGCUUUGUUCUGUUGAACAUAGUGUCACUAUGAGUUGGAAUCGACUUGACGGCACCUAACAACAACGUAAGUUUUUCUUUUUGGAACCCGAUUACCAGGCCUUUCUUCUGAGGUGGGUGGGUUCUAACCACCAAUUUUUAGGUUAGUAGACAAGUGUGAACCAUUUAUGCUAGUCAAAGACCCUAGGGAACUAGAGGUGUGCUCAUUUCUCCAAGAAUGUACUGUCAGUGAACAUAUGGGUAAGCAUUUGUACAUCUUCAUAAAUCCUUCUCUUCAAUUUUGUUUUUUUGGCAGUCAGCAAAUUCAACUUUUAAAAUAUGGGCCCUUAAAGGCUAA